ACAAAACUCUUUAGAGUUUUACCCAGUAUUCAUUAUUACAUUGUGGGUGGCUGGAUGGUAUUUCAACCAAGUUUUUGCCACUUGUCUGGGUCUGGUGUACAUCUAUGCCCGUCACCAGUAUUUUUGGGGAUAUUCAGAAGCUCCUAAAAAAAGGAUCACUGGUUUCCGGUUAAGUCUGGGGGUUUUGGCCUUGUUGGCCGUCCUAGGUGCUGUGGGGAUUACAAACAGCUUUCUGGAUGAAUAUCUGGACCUCAAUAUUGCCAAGAAACUGAGGCACUUCUAAAGUGGCCCUCUCCUUUCGCUCAAAUGCCUGCAGAAGAUGUUUCUACUCUGAAGGUUAGAUGGUCUCUCUUGUUCAAUUAAAAGCAAUAAAAAUCCCUAUUUGGUUUUUUUUUUUUUUUUUUUCUUCCUGAAAUGGCUCUGUAGAAUCAUACCCUUUCGAUUUUUCCUGUUAGUUUAAGGACCGAAGUUUGCUCUGAGGGGACGUACCCAUGGCAACAGGGAAGGGUGCCGAGCCCUGGCUAUAGAAGUACGUGCCCAAGUCAGAACCGCUUAUGUGGGGAGCAGCUUACCCUGUCUGUGUCCAGGGCUUUCUGUGGUCCACUGCAAUCACUAGCCUCUGAGACUGCUUCUCUCCUGAUGGCAAGUUCCAGGGUGAUGCUGAUAAGGCAGCUGCCACCCACGGGUUGCAGGACAGCCACAGAUGGUGGCGAAAAUGAGGCAAAUACAUAGAGUAGCCAGAGAAGACAGCCAUCAGCUAACAGCACAAAACAAUUCCAGCUGUGGAAAAGGGCUUUAUAAAGACCAAAGGAAGAAGUUCCCCUCAUGGUUCCUAGUUGGAUUCGUUUCUGCUGUGCCAUGAUGGGAAUUCCCAAUUAAAAAUAAUUCAUUAGGACAAGGAGGAGUACUCAGCCCUUCUCAGACUUCAUAUUUUUAUUCUGUGUCAGCCUUCCCCCCCCCCAGCCCCUGAAUCUGUUAAUUUUUGAUCUCAUGUCACUAAGCCAAUAUUAGUGGGACAAGGCCGAAUGUCACAUUGUUUUCUCCAUGGUAUUUGCCAGUGAGUGUGGACCACAGCCCACCCUGAGUAGGGCUGGCCCCUUCUUCCUUAGUCAAGUUCAUUUUUUUCUCUUGGAAUUUGUGCAUAUUAAAACUCAUCUUUGUUUCAGAUUUUUUUUUUUUUUUCUUUUUAGGGCCAAACCAUGGCAUAUGGAGGUUUCUAGGCUAAGAGGUUGAAUUGGAGCUGUAGCCACUGGCCUAUGUCAUAGCCACAGCAAUGUCAGAUCUGAGCCGUGUCUGCGACCUACACCACAGCUCAUGGCAACGCUGGACCCUUAACCCACUGAGGGAGGCCAGGGAUCAAAUCUGCGUCCUCCUGGAUGUCAGAUUUGUUUCUGCUGAGCCACCCUCAGGAACUCCUGGAUCUCUUUUUGAUGAUGACCUCAUUCUGUUCUUGUGGCCUCCUUCUGCUUCACCCAGACAGUUUUGAUAUGUGUUGUUUUGCUGUGCUUUUUAAAGUUGGAUGGCAAGCCUAGGUCUGGCCUUCUAGAAGUGGAGUAGAUUCAUGUGUGUGUGAUUUGUUGGGGAAGGGCUCCCAGGAGAGGAAACAGAGCAGACAAAGACAGGAAGCCAAGCAAGGGGGCACCUUCAGGCCAAGUCCCAGUCUCUGCCUGAUCCUGCAGGGGAGCUUGGAGCAGAAGUCCUAGCUCAGGGUUUGUCCAGGCAAGUUAACUGGGAUCUCACAUCUGGAGAGACAUGAACUUCUAAGCACCUUAAACUCUCUGUGGGUGGUGCUGGUUAAGCCAGACCCUGGCCGAAGGCCAUCCUCCAAAGAGAUGCAGCUGGGCUGGUAGAAGAGGUGUGUGUGUAUGCGCGUGUGCAUGUAAGCAUGCAUGGGUGUAGCACCAGGGUCCAGUACAAUGGAGCAUGGCCCCAUUGUUACUUUCCCCCUAAUAUAUCCAAGUUUCCUUCCUUUUUUAAAUGAGAAUUUUACUAUCAGUUUUCCAAACCAGGAGGAAUUUGAAUUGUGAUGGUACUCAAUCUACAAAUGGACUUUGGUCCUUUUCUUUCAAAGCUGACUUUCCUCUCACUGGUUCCACGUCCCUGGAAUGCGUAUUUGUUUAUUGUCUUUUUAGGGUUGUACCCGCUGCAUAUGGAGGUUCCCAGGCUAGAGGUCAAAUCUGAGCUGUAGCUGCCGGUCUACCCCACAGCCAUAGCAACACUGGGUCUGGGCCACAUCUAUGACCUACACCGCAGCUCCCAGGAAUGCCAGAUCCUUAACUCACUGAGCAAAGCCAGGGACUGAAUCCGAGUCCUCAUGGAUACUAGUCAGGUUCAUUAGCGCUGAGCCACCAUGGGAACGGCUUGGGGUGCCUGUUUAGAAUGUUUUAGCUGUAUGGUUGAAGUAAAAAGGCUGGGGAUGAGUGCCUGUGAUCUCUACUGUUACAUAAAUGUUUAAAAUAAUGAUGUCAAAAUUUUGAGAUAAGAACUGGAGUUAAAGUCCAGCAUCAUACGUCUGCUUAAUUAAGGCUGGUGCUCCAGUGAGAGUUCUAAAAUAAACUAAACUGUGGAUUGGUUCAGAUAAUGAUCUUUUAUUUGUUUUUUUGUUUUUCUUUAAAAGUGGUAGGUCAACAUCACUUCAUUUCUACACUUCAGUUCUGUACAUUUCUUAAAAGGAAAUAAGCGAUGCUCAAUGUACAAAGUAAAAACAGAUAACUAGAAAAAUCUGAAGAAAAUGGGGGAAGUUGCCGUAGGUCAUCCAGUACAAAUUAGUAAUUCGAUGUCCUCUGAAGUGCAAAUACCACUGCUGGGAUGAUGAGUUAAGGAAUGAAAUAAAAAUACUCUAUUUUAAACAAACGGUAUAUAUAUAUUUAUAUGUAUAUAUAUUUUUUUUACAGAUAGUAGACCCAGUGAUAUCUGAAGUAUUGUAAAAACUUAUUUACAAAUAACUUUUUUUUUUUUAGACAUUACAUGUACAUCAGCACCUUAGUAAGAACAAAAACAAAACAAAACCACCUUAUUAAAAUCUACCUCUAUUUACUUGGUCCCAGUACUGAGCAUUUGGAGGAAGCUUCUAAAAGAUAAUGGAGCCCCGCUUCCCCCUCCAUCACCACCUCCAGUUUUCCAUCGUUGCUUAGAGAUUUAUUUCUUGGACCUUUCAGAAAAAGGACCUGCUCCCGGAGCUGCGCUGGGGCUCUGCAGCGCUGAGUUACACGACAAUGGCUGUGCCACGUGGCCUGCAAACCUGGACAGCAGGAGGGGAGGCAAGGAGGGCUGAGACAAGCCUCACGGCAGUUGCCAGUCGGGGUGGGUGACCCCUCCCGACAGACUUCAGUGAGGUGCCAAGGCCCCCAGGAGGCUCCAGCCCAGCUCCCUGCAGCGACGGCCACCAUGGUCACCAGCAGAGGGCUGCCUGCCCAGGACUGCAGGACCUUUCUCCAAGCUCCCUUGGUGAUCCUUGUGAGGCAACGUCUCCAACAUUCCUGAGAGUCAUCAUGGGGGGGAGACAGGCCUGUGGAGCCUGUGUCUUCUGGCGACACCUCUCUGGUCUUCUCGCCUGCCCUCCAAAUCCAGUGGCAUGUCUUGAAGGCCAGCCUUUUCUCGCAGUCAGAGUUCAGUGCGUGCAACCACCCAGCCACCUCAGGGGGGGGCCUCUCCUCCACCCCCGGCUCGCUCGCCUCUGUGUCUCCAGCGCUGUGACCCCUGGACCAGGGCCAGGAGGGGCUGUCAGCCACCGCACGUCAGGCAGCAGUCUGUCUUGGCUGGAGCGGCUCUGCUAGGCCAGGCGAUCGCAGGCAGGGCCAAGCAGAGGGGCCGUGGACUCAUCUCUCCACUUGCCUCCUGUGCGGCUCCCUCUCUUGCAGCGGGAUUGGCAAGGUGUCUGUCUUGAUUGCUGGGUGGAACAAAGCCCAGCAGGGCUGGGGAUUGGUACCUGGACCUUCCACUGUCAGCCGGCUGCAGUUCUGCUCAGUUUACAUGGGUCAAAAAAACAAACAAAAAAAACAAGGAUGAGUCCACAUCCUGUUUCUUUUUCAAGGUGGAAGCUUUAACCACUAGGGUUUUGGCUCUCAGGGUCCCUCUUGACUAGGGGUUUCCAAACAGUUCAUCGAGCUCCUGCAUCCACUCAUCCCCUGGCCCGCCUUUGAUGAUGGAGUCCAUGAGAUCGGCACUGUCCGAGAGGCCUGGGAAGGAAGGCCCAGGGGCAUCGCUGCUGUAAUUGUAUGACAUGUCCUGAGGGGGGUUUCGCUCGUAGGCUUGGCUCUGGCUGCUCGGAGCAAAGCUGCCCCCGGGCAUGGGCUGCUGUGCCGGGGGCUGGCUGAAUGCUGGCAUGCCAGCGACGCCCUGGCUUAGGCCAGACAUGACCAUCGGCCUGGCCUGGCCCGUGCCUUGCUGCCCCGGGAGCGGUGGCAUCAGCUGCCGGCCCAUGGCAGCUGGGUUGAGAGUCCUCACGGUGCCAGUGUUAGCAUCCACCACCUGGCUCAGUCCCUGGGGGAAGUGCUGCUUGGUCAGCCUCGGCUGGCCAGCUUGUAACGGGUAGCUGGUGCCGUUGUUGAAGGAUGUUAAUUCUCCACUAGUCCUCCCGGGCAUUGCCUGUAAGCUCCUCUGUUGCCAGCUCUGUGUCCCCUGCUGGACUGUUCCCAUAAUACUCUGCAGCCUUGGUGGGGCCUGGGGCCUGGGCAAGGUCUGGCCUACAGGCCCCUUCAUCUGCUGGUGCUGUGGGGUAAUGGCAGAGUUCACCAGCAUGCUCUGACCAAAACCACUCACCAUCCCGACCCCUGGCCCUGAGGUGGGCUGCCUCGGCCCCUGGGCUUGGUUGUGGGUGAUACUCAUGCCACUUUGGUUUGGGUGCUGCAACAUCUGGGUCAUUCCUGUGCUCAUAUUGUACAUUCCGGGUUGGCUGGUAGGUGUGGUGCUGUAAGGGGCCAGUCCCAUCUCCGACUGGGCUGCUGCUGUGGCCAUUGUCCCUGGGUUCUGGGAGGGUCCCAUUCCCAUCAUGCCUGCAUUCUGUGCCAUCAACCGUGAUGUUCGCAUGCUCUGGAGGGCUGCCUGGCUUCUCACGGCUGCUAUAUCCUGGGGAGACCCUGCAGGGAAAAAGGACACACCAGUUCACUCAUUUCCAUAAGCAAUGUGACAAGCUGGACUUUUCUUUACAAAUGACAAAUUCCUUUUGUACGAAAGGAUCUACUUUGAUAAUCUUUUAAAAGACUGAUC
rnacentral:lncRNA from 1 species